rnacentral:rRNA from 1 species
UACAGAGGUGGCAAGCGUUGUUCGGAAUUACUGGGCGUAAAGGGCGCGUAGGCGGUUCGAUAAGUCCCGUGUGAAAAUCCCUCGGCUCAACUGAGGAACUGCACGGGAAACUGACGGGCUUGAGUUCGGGAGAGGGAAGCGGAAUUCCGGGUGUGAGCGGUGAAAUGCGUAGAUAUCCGGAGGAACACCGGUGGCGAAGGCGGCUUCCUGGACC